UACGUAGGGGGCUAGCGUUGUCCGGAAUCAUUGGGCGUAAAGCGCGCGUAGGCGGCCCGGUAAGUCCGCUGUAAAAGUCAAAGGCUCAACCUUUGAAUGUCAGUGGAUACUGCCGGGCUAGAGUCCGGAAGAGGCGAGUGGAAUUCCUGGUGUAGCGGUGAAAUGCGCAGAUAUCAGGAGGAACACCAAUUGCGAAGGCAGCUCGCUGGGACGUUACUGACGCUGAGACGCGAAAGCGUGGGGAGCAAACAGG
rnacentral:rRNA from 1 species